UCAGAUUGAACGCUGGCGGCAGGCCUAACACAUGCAAGUCGAACGGUAACAGGAAGAAGCUUGCUUCUUUGCUGACGAGUGGCGGACGGGUGAGUAAUGUCUGGGAAACUGCCUGAUGGAGGGGGAUAACUACUGGAAACGGUAGCUAAUACCGCAUAACGUCGCAAGACCAAAGAGGGGGACCUUCGGGCCUCUUGCCAUCGGAUGUGCCCAGAUGGGAUUAGCUAGUAGGUGGGGUAACGGCUCACCUAGGCGACGAUCCCUAGCUGGUCUGAGAGGAUGACCAGCCACACUGGAACUGAGACACGGUCCAGACUCCUACGGGAGGCAGCAGUGGGGAAUAUUGCACAAUGGGCGCAAGCCUGAUGCAGCCAUGCCGCGUGUAUGAAGAAGGCCUUCGGGUUGUAAAGUACUUUCAGCGGGGAGGAAGGGAGUAAAGUUAAUACCUUUGCUCAUUGACGUUACCCGCAGAAGAAGCACCGGCUAACUCCGUGCCAGCAGCCGCGGUAAUACGGAGGGUGCAAGCGUUAAUCGGAAUUACUGGGC
rnacentral:rRNA from 1 species